rnacentral:hammerhead_ribozyme from 1 species
AUCCGGCUGAAACGUCCCGAAUAAGACGAAACGCAUGUCCUGGAU